CAAACUGGACGUCCAGUUGUUAAACUUGGACCAAGCCAACUUCUGCUCAUGAUGACAAAGCAAAUACAAGAGGGCUGCCCUUCACGUUGAGAUGACUUGCUUCUGCUCGGGCUCUGUGGGUCCUAAUGUGGCUGAUGAGGCCGAUGUGAGAUCUACAGACUCCCACAGAUGGGGCGGAGGUGCCUGAUGAGGAGGCGCUGCCUCAAGAAGGCAACAUCCACCAUCAAAGAUCCCCACCAUCCGGGCCGUGCCAUCUUCUCACAGCUACCAUCGGGCAGGAGGUACAGAAGCCUGAAGUCCCACAUCACCAGGUUCAAGAAAAGCUACUUCUCUUCAACCAUUCAGUUCUUGAACCAACUUGCACAACCCUAAUCACUAGGUUAGCAACACUAUGAUCACUUUGCACUAAAAUGGACUGUUUUUGUUCCAACUGUAAAAUUUGAGUAUAAUUUAUGUUUUUCUUGUGAAUGCUGCUUAUCUGAUGCUACGUGCCUGUGAUGCUGCUGCAAAUAAGUUUUUCAUUGCACCUGUGCACACAUGGACUUGUGCAAAUGACAUUCAACACAACUUUGACUUUGAGCCACAUGUUGCAUUCUUAAAGAAAAAUUAAUUAAAAUGUAAAUUCUGCAAGGCUGGAAUUUAUUACAGAGACAGUGCUUUAUCAGUAGUAUAAAGUUAAUUAGAAAAAACUUUAUUUUGUUUAGGCACUUGGGUGUGUUUUUCUCAGGACUUAUUGUCUAAAAGCAAAAAAAUUAAGUCCAGAUAAGGAUGGAAUUAGCAUCUGCUGCCAUCAUGUGGUCAGAAAAUGUAUUGCUUGAAAAUGUAGCCUCUCCCUCCCACACUCUCUCUAACCAAUACAAUUAUAUAGUUAAAUUACAAAUCGGUCAUUUCAAUGUUGUUUUUAAUAAGAAUUGGGGAAAAUUCAGCCUGCAACAAGCUUCUCGCCAAAUAUUUCAAACCACUUUGUAAG